rnacentral:rRNA from 1 species
AACGUAGGUGGCGAGCGUUAUCCGGAUUCAUUGGGCGUAAAGAGCUUGUAGGUGGUUGCGUAAGUUGGACGUGAAAACUCCGGGCUUAACUUGGAGAGGCCGUUCAAUACUGUGCGACUAGAGGAUGUCAGAGGGAAGUAGAAUUCCUGGUGUAGCAGUGAAAUGCGUAGAUAUCAGGAGGAAUACCCGUGGCGAAGGCGGCUUCCUGGGACAUAACUGACACUGAGAAGCGAAAGCUAGGGGAGCAAACGGG